UACGGAGGGGGCUAGCGUUUGUUCGGAAUUACUGGGCGUAAAGCGCGCGUAGGCGGCUUAGCAAGUUAGAGGUGAAAGCCCGAAGCUCAACUUCGGAAUUGCCUUCAAAACUGCAAAGCUAGAAUCAUGGAGAGGUGAGUGGAAUUCCGAGUGUAGAGGUGAAAUGCGUAGAGAUCCGGAGGAACACCAGUGGCGAAGGCGACACGCUGGGCCGUACCUGACACUGAUGCGCGACAGCAUGGGGAGCAAACAGGG
rnacentral:rRNA from 1 species